rnacentral:lncRNA from 1 species
CUAGAGUACGCACGCGCAACACUGGGGCAGGCCGCCCUCCCCCCGACCCCCCGAAUUAGUUGUUCCUCUACGGCCAACGCGUCCUGGGCCACAGACCCUCUGAAGAGCUCGUCCCACGUACAGCCCAUAGACAUACUUCACCACGGACGUCCGGCGGCGUCCUCCUCUCCGGCCGAGCACCGGAAACCUAGGUAACUGCUGCCAACAGGACCGCCCUCUCCUGCCGCAGCCAAUCAACAGCAAACGCGGGCGCGGAGCUUGCUGGGAAAAAAGAAGUCAAGGCGGCUUUGGAGGCGGGAGUGGGAAAAACUACGAGCCCCUUCAUGCCUCGCGGCGCCGCACAACUCCCGAGAUGCAACCGAAAAGCAUAGGAGCCAAAUACCCUGAGGGUCCGAAAUUAUGUCAUUGGUCGAGAGAUUUUUGUCAGCCUCUUUUCUGGUACUGAAGCUAUGAUUGGCCUUAAACUUUGGCAUUCUGGUCUUUUUUUUUUCUUUUUUUUUCAUACACUCAUUAGUCCUUUAUAAACAUGUAUGACUUUCUAUGAUCUCUGAGAACUCGGAAGAGGGAUAGAAAGGUAAACUAAUUUGUUAUGUGCCUGGCAUUUUUUUCCCCUCUAUUACAAUAGAAGGUUUAUAAUAAUUCAAACGUUUUUUCCUCGUAUCCAGUAGCUUGAUUCUCAUAAUUACUCGGAUUAAGUACAAAAUACUCAGUGAUCUGUGAAAUAUACGAUAGUACAGAAAAGCCUAGUUAAAAUAAAACAAACUACUAUUUGUUUGUUAGAGACAACAUCUCGUUAUAUGUGGCUUUGGCAGGCCUGGAACUCCCUAUGUAGAUUAAAUUGGCUUUGAACUCAAGAGUUUUGUCUGUCUUUGCCUCCCCAUGGCUUGGACUAAUGGCAAAGGCCACCAGGUAAAGGGUAAAUAGUUUAAGGCUCCAUCAAUAUUGUGUGGUUAUAGCAGAUUCAAAGCUGGAAGCCUGACACCAGCACCCAUCCUUUAAAAAUAUUUCUUUGCCCCCUGAGUCAGGGUUUCUUUGUGUAGCCUAGUGUGUCCUAGAACGUAAUCUUUGACUAUGCUGGCUUCUAACUCAGAGCUGCCUACCAAAACCGGUUGGAACCAUUCUCCGACACCACAGCUGUUCUCUGAGGCAAUUUAUGCCCCGCCUUCUAACCCCACCAGCUUGGCAAUUACUCCCUCAGAAAGGGAUUGAAGCCAGGGAGUUUGGCUUUAGGCAGGUUGGUAAACUCCCACCCUACCACCCCUGCCCCACUUUCUGCAAAGUAUCAAGUGUUACUGCUUUAAAAUGUUAGAUUUUUCUCGUCUUUGUUCUUCAUUAUGAUUUGCAGUGCCAGUGUAGGCUCAGAACAUUAAAAAAAACCCCACAAUUGUGAUUUCAAUUCUUUUGUUGUGUGGAGUUUGUUUUGUUUGAUAAGGUCUUGCUUUAUAGAGCUGGCUGGCGUGUAACUCUCUAUGUAGAUCAGGCUGUCCUAGAAACUCACGUGUUGAAAUUACUGUUGGCUAAAUGCUGCAGCCUCAAGAGGCUAGAGUCAGGCUGUGGGGUAGAGCAUGUUGCAAAUUGUGCUAAUUGGACUUUGUUUUAGGGUUCUUAAAUGAUGUCUAUUUUUCUGUAAUAGGUCUGCCAAACAGACUCAGAGUAGAGUUCUGUCUGUUCACAUGUAACUUUGAGAGACAAUAAACUCAGUGACAGAGUACUUACCCGGAGUGAUCAAAGCUGAAAAGAGAAAGCGUUGGCACUUGACCAGUUUACUGAGGGAACCGAAUCUCAGAAAGGUUUGCGUUAAAGGUACCUGGAAACCACUGCCCUGAUUGCUUCUCAGUAAACACUUGGAAAUCUCUGAAGAGGUAGCAUCUACAUCAGGUCUUUACCAAAUUCCAUACAAAGAGGAAAGCGAUUCUGGAGCAGUGGUUCUAAACCUUCCCAGUGCUGCAGCCCUUUAAUACAGUUCCUCGUGUUGGGGUGACCUCCAACCAUAGAAUUAUUUCUCUUGCUACUUUAUAAUUUUGCUACUGUUUUGAAUCAUACAUGUCUGUUUUCUGAUGGUCUUAGGCAAUACUUAUGAACACCCAGGUUACAAAAAAACAGGUUGCAUCAGGGCAAGACUGUAAUCCCAGCACUGAACAGAGUACAGAAGAGUUCUGUCUCUAACAGGCUCACUGCCUCUGGCCUCCAAAUGCCUGUACAUGCAUGUUGGCAGUUAGGUCGCCCAGCUCCUUUAAACUCCUAGAUUGGAGCAGUUCUGCCUCGACCCUGGCUGGAGAAACAGACACACCCUACUCCAGCAUCUCUGUCAUUCCCACUGCUAGGUACAAACUCAUACCUUCCUCCCUCCACCCCCUUUAUGGCAGGGUCUAUACAGCUCUGACUGUCUGGGAACUAUGUAGACCAGGCAGACCUUGAACUCUGAGAGAUCUGCCUGCCUCUGCCUAGUGUGUGCUGGGAUUAAAACCCCACCAACUGCUUGGCAGCUCCCACCUCCUCCACCCCCGCCUUGAUUUAGGAAUAUUAUGUAGCCAAAGCUGGUCUUAAACUCACUAGGAGGCGUUUUUGGUUUUUUUGGGCAGCCAAUAAUCUUGAGCUCCUGACAUUCGUGGCUCUGCCUCCCCCAGCAAGUGCUGGGGUCCUAGGCAUGUCUUACCAUGCUGGCCAAAACUCAGUCUCGUAGAGCCAAAGCUUACUUUUUGACAGCAGCACUGAUACUGGCUUCCACAUUGUGUAGAUUGUGACUGCAUUCUUCUUUACGGGAGUGGUGGAUUUCAAAGUCACACAGCAAAAGUUGACGUGAGAAUGAAUGAAUGCCAGGGACUGGGUGUGAUCCUGUACUUUAUGAUCGGGAAACCUUAAAGUUUACUACAUAUAAAGAAAUGACUAACCCCCAACAGCUGAUGCAGCUGUCAUUCUACAGACAUGCUAAUGGGUUAACCACUUUGUUUUUCAGAUAGGGUUUCAUAUAGACAGGCUGACCCUGAAUUUCUGGACCCCCUCCCUCUACAAGCAGUGUCUGGCUUAUGUGAUACACAGGGUUGGAUCCAGGGCUUCAGGCAUGCUAAUCAAGUACUCUACCAUCUAGAGCCUAGGUCUCAUGUGCACUUCCCAGUCCAGGGUCACUCCAAACCAAAGAAGACAAUUUAGAACUUUGCAACAGGUUUUUAUUUUUGCUUUGUAUCUAUUACAGUGUUUGAAACCUAAAGAAAUACAUUUUCUCUUC